rnacentral:rRNA from 1 species
GACGAACGCUGGCGGCGUGCCUAAUACAUGCAAGUCGAGCGGACCGACGGGAGCUUGCUCCCUUAGGUCAGCGGCGGACGGGUGAGUAACACGUGGGUAACCUGCCUGUAAGACUGGGAUAACUCCGGGAAACCGGGGCUAAUACCGGAUGCUUGAUUGAACCGCAUGGUUCAAUCAUAAAAGGUGGCUUUUAGCUACCACUUGCAGAUGGACCCGCGGCGCAUUAGCUAGUUGGUGAGGUAACGGCUCACCAAGGCGACGAUGCGUAGCCGACCUGAGAGGGUGAUCGGCCACACUGGGACUGAGACACGGCCCAGACUCCUACGGGAGGCAGCAGUAGGGAAUCUUCCGCAAUGGACGAAAGUCUGACGGAGCAACGCCGCGUGAGUGAUGAAGGUUUUCGGAUCGUAAAACUCUGUUGUUAGGGAAGAACAAGUACCGUUCGAAUAGGGCGGUACCUUGACGGUACCUAACCAGAAAGCCACGGCUAACUACGUGCCAGCAGCCGCGGUAAUACGUAGGUGGCAAGCGUUGUCCGGAAUUAUUGGGCGUAAAGCGCGCGCAGGCGGUUUCUUAAGUCUGAUGUGAAAGCCCCCGGCUCAACCGGGGAGGGUCAUUGGAAACUGGGGAACUUGAGUGCAGAAGAGGAGAGUGGAAUUCCACGUGUAGCGGUGAAAUGCGUAGAGAUGUGGAGGAACACCAGUGGCGAAGGCGACUCUCUGGUCUGUAACUGACGCUGA